rnacentral:misc_RNA from 1 species
UAAGAAAAGACUACAUCAUGCUUUUCAUUAAUAAACGAUUGAAACCAAAACAUACAACUCAGUAGUAGUUGAUGGAUCACAUGACUUGCUAUACAAAGGAUAACAAAGCCUAAGUCCACAUCCAUUUUACCAAAUAUACAAGUUGCCACUUGUGAAAAAUUUUUGCAUUAUCUAAUUCUAUUCUAUGCCUUUCUCUUUCUUCCCCCCUUUUUCUGCGGAUAUCCAUCAACCACUCAAAAAGUUGAACUCGUUACCAAAAAGAUAAAGGCAAGAAAGAAAAAAAGAUAGAGAGAAACUUUUUAUACUUUGAAACAAGCAGACUCCUCACUUUCUCCUGAUUCGUUCAUAAUUUCACCGUUCUUUUGACACACACACCUUUCUCCUUCGGCAUCAAAGCUAGCAUGCAGACUAUACAACACAUAUACAAGCACUGCAAGACCUGAAAAGAAGGCAAAUCUCACAUAUGAUGGGCCAUCCAGAGACCCCAGCAAGAAAAUGUUCAAGAAGAUAGAUACACUUGGUAUCCAUGGCAUGAAUGGAACACCCCAGAAUUCUGGCGUUCUUGCUUGUGUCACCAUGCAAUUAAAGACUUGUAUUAUUGCAAUCGCUGUCGCAGCACAGGCUCCGAGCAUAAAGGCUUUUGGCUUGCCCUGAGGCAUGAAAUGCCAAAUGAGAGUGAAUAUUAAGGAGGUGAAUGAGAAUGAACAGAGGAAGGAUAAUGUAGGCCAUGGAUUUGUUGUUCCUGCCGCCACAUAUCUUCUGUAAAUUACUGCAUUGGCUACCAUGUAAAAUACAAAGAGUGUGCCUAUUGAUACGAGGUUGAGGAGGACGUUUAGAUCAGUAAAGAGGGCAAUUGUAGCUGUGAAGAUACCCAGAAAUGCGGAGGCAUUGACAGGCGUUGAUGUACUUGGAUGGACCCUAGCGAACCACGCAGGGACUACACUUGACCGUCCGAUCACGCACAUGUAUCUCGCUUGGCCCAACAUCGAUACCAAUAACGAUGUGAGAAUGCCGAAGCUGGCCCCCACUCCUAUUACGUUUGACACCCAUUCCCAGCCGUCCGAUUUCCCUCUAAAGGCAGCUGAAAAAGGUGCCUCCGCAUCGAUCCGAUCAUAGGGGAGAAGCUUGGACAUUGAAGCGGCCAUGAGGCAAUACAGAAUGGUAACAAGAAUAACAGAGCCAGAAACACCAAUAGGAAUAUCCUUAACAGGGUUAUGAACUUCUUCAGCGAGGGUGGAAACGGCGUCGUAUCCAAUAUAACUCAAAUAGACCAUAGCUGCUCCAUUGAACACACCCGGAACUCCAAAAGGGAAGAACCCAGACGGGUGUCCCGGGUUAGCGGGUUCUGUGAAAUUCUUCCAAUCCCCUUUCCAAAAUCCCACAAAUAUCACAAACGCUAUGAACAGAAUGUGCAACGCUGUUAGCACUAUAUUCACCACCGAGCUCUCCCUUGUGCUGUAACAAAUGAUGAGAGUGAUGCCUAAGACGACAAGUACAGCAACCAUAUCGAUUUCAUUAAAGCCAUUAGGAAGGGCAUGGACCACUAGCCUCCAUUUUGAUGUGGACAUGCCAAUUGCUGUACCCAAAUAGGCGGUGAAGCCUCUCGCAACUGCCGCGUUUGACAUCACGUAGUCCAUUAUGAGAUUUGCCCCGGUUAAAAAGGCAGCGAACUCACCAAAGGUGACGCGGAGAUAGCUGAAAGCGCCCCCGGCGACAGGCAUGUCGACAGCGAAUUCGGUGUAACAAAAGGCAGAGAGCAGAGCGCAUAGUCCGGCAAUGGCGUACGAGACUACAAUAGAAGGGCCAGCGUAGAGACGACUAGCUCGACCGGUGGUGACAAAGACACCGGCGCCGACCAUCCCACCGACGCCGAAUCCGACGAGAUCAUACCACCGAAGAGUUUUCUGCAGUUCUGAGCCAGAGCGGGCUUUGACCUGGCUCAUCUCUUCCAAUGAGCUGGAGACUGAACCAGCCCGGUGGGCAAAGCGAGCAGGGGUCUGAGCCAAGGCUCGAAGAUAGGAACCAAAGCUAGAGAAAGAAGAGGAAGAGGCAUGAUUUUCCAUGUGAGAGUCUCUAUUUUUUCUGAGUGUGCUUGUGCAUUUGGAGGAUGUUGAAAAAGUGCAAAAUAUUAGAGGAGAGAGAGAGAGAGAGAGA